GGUUGGUCCAAAAGUAAUAGGUUACCAAAAGUUAUUACUGUUAGUUCCACUAACCUUUCUAAGAUCCACUCCAUUCUUAACCUUAUCUGGUUUUUG
rnacentral:Y_RNA from 1 species